rfam:Gossypium raimondii Chr07_contig_1053, whole genome shotgun sequence.
UAUUAAAAGAAUUAUCCAUUUCUACUAUUAAAAACUAACAGUUGGUAGAAUACCCAAAUAGUUAUACAUGGCAUGCCACGUGUACCUCAUUCAAAUGUGUACAUCAAUUUUUAACAAUAAAAAUGAAUGAAAUUUUUAACA